UACGUAGGUGGCAAGCGUUGUCCGGAUUUACUGGGCGUAAAGAGCGCGCAGGCGGUCGUUCAAGUCGCGUGUGAAAGCCCCCGGCUCAACUGGGGAGGGUCACGCGAUACUGAUCGACUGGAAGGCAGGAGAGGGUAGUGGAAUUCCAGGUGUAGCGGUGAAAUGCGUAGAUAUCGGGAGGAACACCAGUGGCGAAGGCGGCGAUCUGGGAAGAUACUGACGCUGAGGUGCGAAAGCGUGGGGAGCAAACAGG
rnacentral:rRNA from 1 species